GUCUCUCUCUGUUGCCCAGGCUGGAGUGCAGUGGCAUGAUCAUAGCUCACUGAAGCCUUGAACCCCUGGCCUCAAGCAGUCGUCCCCCUCGGCCUCCCAAACUCCUGGGAUUAUAGGCAUGAGCCAUUGCGUCCUGCCCAAAAGUACUGCAGAAGGUAGAGAACAACAGUCUUCUGACCAUCUGCCAUUUCCCCGUCCGCAGCCAACUCUUCUAUUCCGACUUCGCAUCUGAGGACUGUCCUUUUCCUGAGGUGUUUGACAUUAAGCAUGUGAUUACGAGACAGUCUCCAGAAAUUACAUUUCUUUCUCUAGUGUAGCAAAUGAAUGAACAUCUUUAAUCCUCAGUUUUCAAAUCUGUAAAGUGAGUGCAAUAAUAAUACUUAUCUCAUAGGGUCCUUGCCAAGGUUAAAAUGAGAUAACCAUAUGAGAAUCACUUAGUGUGAUGCCUGGUGCUGAAAACAACUAGCUAUUACUACCACUGCUAAUAUUAUUAGUAGCUGUGGGCAAAAGGAUUCUUGCAUUCAGCCUGGUGACGCUGCUCUAGCCACCUAGACUGACUUGUGUUUAAGGCAGAAAACCAAAACCUGUGGACAGCUGCCUGCUGAGUGUUCACGAGCUGUGGCUGCUCCAGGCCCAGGAGCUGAGGGCUAUGCAGUGCUCAGUAGGCAGCUUCUCCCAUCGUGGCGACAGAACUGCUGGAAAGAGUGUCCCCUUGGGACUAGGAAGCCCUAAGUGAUGAACUGCCGGUGAGUGGCACUUUAUUUGCACCUGAGUCUCCAGAAGAGCUAAGGGACCCUGGAGUUACCUGAAGUCCCCACAGCAUGGGCAGAAGUGAGAAUAAUUUGAAACCAAGUGGACUGAUGGACCAGGCUCCGACUGAACCUCUACAUUUCCUUCCUGCAAUGAGUGAUGCUCCCUGUUCCAGCCUGUUAGGCUUCCACUGUUACAAAAUGAGAUAGAAUUCACAUAGCAUCAAUUUACCCUUCAAAAAUGUAUGAGUCAGUGGUUUUUAGUAUCGCACAAGGUUAUGCAACCAUCUGUUAUGCAAUGGUUAUGCAAUACUGAUGUAUUGAAAUCUUAACAUUUUCAUCCCCCAAGUCUGCAAUUUGAUUGGAUUCAGUAAAUGUUUACUGGAAGUUUCUUGUGUAAAAUCCCACGUAUUGUAGUUAGUGUGCUCCUUGGAGUUUGGCUGGCCCAGCUCCAUGCUGGCUCACUUUUUUUGGUCCACGUCUGCAACUGAGCCACACUCCCUCCCUCUGGCUUGACACAUUAACAUUGAACUGGGACAUUGGUGAACUGGGACUGUCUUGAUCAAUGACCACCAUUUCUUGGGCUCUCCCAGUAGCAGGCACUGUGCUAAGCCCUCUGUGUGCAUUCUCUCUUAUUAUCUAAUUUUACAAGAAAGCCUAGAACUGAGGUCUUCUGGCUUCCACUCUCAUAUUCUUGUGGCUGGGCACAGUGACUCAAGCCUGUAAUCCCAGCACUUUGGGAGGCCAGAGUAGAAGGAUCACUUGAGCCCA
rnacentral:lncRNA from 1 species